GACGAACGCUGGCGGCGUGCUUAACACAUGCAAGUCGAACGGAAAGGCCCUGCUUUUGUGGGGUGCUCGAGUGGCGAACGGGUGAGUAACACGUGAGUAACCUGCCCUUGACUUUGGGAUAACUUCAGGAAACUGGGGCUAAUACCGGAUAGGAGCUCCUGCUGCAUGGUGGGGGUUGGAAAGUUUCGGCGGUUGGGGAUGGACUCGCGGCUUAUCAGCUUGUUGGUGGGGUAGUGGCUUACCAAGGCUUUGACGGGUAGCCGGCCUGAGAGGGUGACCGGCCACAUUGGGACUGAGAGACGGCCCAGACUCCUACGGGAGGCAACAGUGGGGAAUAUUGCACAAUGGGCGGAAGCCUGAUGCAGCAACGCCGCGUGCGGGAUGACGGCCUUCGGGUUGUAAACCGCUUUCGCCUGUGACGAAGCGUGAGUGACGGUAAUGGGUAAAGAAGCACCGGCUAACUACGU
rnacentral:rRNA from 1 species